AGUUCUGGACUGGAAAGAAAUGUAACUCAGUAAAAACUAUUUGCACAGAGGUGAUGGAAAAUAGGGCAAAAGUUAGUAUAAAAAAUCAGCGAACUUCAGGGAGACAAAAAAAUUUGGAUGGUUUAAAGAGGUGGAAUAACUUAAACAUGACAUAAGGCGAUGAAUCGAUUUUUCCCAGCCUAAGGUUUUCCUAGGCAUUGCUUAACCAUAAGUGAAAGUGAACAUGCAUGUUUGUUUCCCAAUUUUAAAAAUAACCUGUUAACUAGUUUUAUGUCUGUUUAACGAAAUUAAUGAGGCAUUCAACAUUUGCAAAUAAAAAAAAACCCUAAGUACAUGAUAUCUAAUGCAUAUAAAGGCCCUAAAAUAUAGUAUCUAAACGCAAUGGCAGUAACUCGAUUAUUAACUGAUUGUGAUUAUAGAAAUGGGCAAAAUAACAAGCUGAAAGUAAAAGACCUAGGAACAUGAUCAUGUAAGAUGCAUGUCCUAAACAUUGUGUCUAUUGCACAAAUAGGCAAGUAAAAUCUAUAAACAUGUUUUCUACCCAUUCACGUUAACUAAGCAUGCAUAACCCUCCCAAUUUCACUAUAAACCCCAUUUAUUUUUUACAAGUUAUUAUAGACCAAGUAAUUAAAUUUACAACAGUGAAAUAAAAAUAAGAAGUUAUUCUCUUGGGAGCCUUCAGCCAGGCCCAAAUCUCCAACCUCACUUUUUUUGAGUUUCACAUCCUUUACCAGGGUUUGGGUGCGGCAAAGUUCCCUAAGGGUACCUUUGAACCCCUGGCCAAUAUCAGGCACCCAAGACAAAUCAUCCUUGACAAGUGCAAGUGUGGAAUUGCAGACUUGUGCAUCAAAGUUCAGUGGGUGCUCAAGGCUCCCAAAAAAAUGCUUACACUAAGGGGACAUAACCUAAUUUCUAAGAAUAGUGAGAUUGUGAUAUAGUUUGAAGGAGUUGAAAACAGUUGAGAGAUAGUUUGAGAAAAACAGUUUGAGAAAAACAGUAAGAGUGAAAGAGUUCUUUUGAAAUUCAUUUGGGAUGACCAGUUUUGAAAAGAAAAUGUCAGACAAACAGGGGCAGGGGAAAGGGAACAAAUAAACUUAUAAACAAGCAAACAUACCAGGUAAAAGCCCAUUUAGAGAAAACAAACAUGUUUCAAACUAGGAGACUGGUUCUUACACAAAGGGUCACACAAACAAAGGGCAGGGGAAAGGGAACAAAUAAACUCAGAAACAAGCAAACAUACCAGAGAAAAGCUCUUUUAGAGAAAACGAACAUGUUUCAAACUAGGAGCCUGGUUCUUACAGCACCAGACCCCAACAAAGUCAACCUCAGGA
rnacentral:lncRNA from 1 species